UUGGAGGGCAAGUCUGGUGCCAGCAGCCGCGGUAAUUCCAGCUCCAAUAGCGUAUAUUGAAGUUGUUGCAGUUAAAAAGCUCGUAGUUGAAUUUCGAGAUCAAUUUGUCGGUCGUGCCUCGGUACGUACUGGCAUUAUUGAUUUCUCCCUUCUGAAGAACCGCGAUGUCAUUAAUUUGGUGUCGUGGGGAAUCAGGACUGUUACUUUGAAAAAAUUAGAGUGUUUAAAGCAGGCGCACGCUUGAAUACAUUAGCAUGGAAUAAUGAAAUAGGACGUUUGAUUCUAUUUUGUUGGUUUCUAGGAUCGACGUAAUGAUUAAUAGGGAUAGUUGGGGGCAUUAGUAUUCAAUUGUCAGAGGUGAAAUUCUUGGAUUUAUUGAAGACUAACUACUGCGAAAGCAUUUGCCAAGGAUGUUUUCAUUAAUCAAGAACGAAAGUUAGGGGAUCGAAGACGAUCAGAUACCGUCGUAGUCUUAACCAUAAACUAUGCCGACUAGGGAUCGGAUGAUGUUAAUUUUUUAAUGACUCAUUCGGCGCCUUACGGGAAAC
rnacentral:rRNA from 1 species